rnacentral:rRNA from 1 species
UACGUAGGGUGCGAGCGUUAAUCGGAAUUACUGGGCGUAAAGCGUGCGCAGGCGGUUUUGUAAGCCAGAUGUGAAAGCCCCGGGCUUAACCUGGGAAUGGCAUUUGGGACUGCAAGGCUUGAGUGCGGCAGAGGAGACUGGAAUUCCUGGUGUAGCGGUGGAAUGCGCAGAUAUCAGGAGGAACACCAAUAGCGAAGGCAGCUCGCUGGGACGGUACUGACGCUAAGGCGCGAAAGCGUGGGGAGCGAACAGG